rnacentral:rRNA from 1 species
AGAUUAAAUUAAAAAAGAAGGUAACCUCUGAGAACUUGUGGGUUUUAAUUUUAUGCUUUUUUUUGUGAAGUUGUUCCAAGUAUAUUAAAGUUACCUUUUGCAUAAUGGUUUAAUUAACUUUAAAGAUUUUUUUUUCCCGAAAUAAAAAGAUCUAAUAAAAAGAUUAAAAAUAUGUUUUAAAAUAUUUAUUUUAUUUUCUAUUAGGUGUGAAAGGCUAAUCAAUUUUUAUGAUAUCUGGAUAAGAUUAAAUGUAUUUAGUACAGGCUUAAAGCUGAAGGACCUCCUGUUAAGGGGAGGUCCUAAAAGUAUAACUUUAAAAUAAUCUAUUUAGGAUAAUUCUGUAAUAAUUUAUUAAAAACGAAGAUUUUUUUUUCAGGUUUCUUAAAUUUACUCUAGAAAAUUUUAAAUUUACCAAAUUUUUCAUAAUGUUAAAAUAAGUAUUAUUAAUAAUUUAAAUGUAGGAACUCGGCAAAAAAUUUCUCAACUGUUUAUCAAAAACAUAGUUUUAUGAAGUAGUAUAAAAUGAAUUCUGCCCAAUGAUUUAUUUAAUGGCCGCAGUACUUUAACUGUGCUAAGGUAGCAUAAUAAUUUGGCUUUUAAUUAAGGUCUGGUAUGAAAGGAUUUUUGGGUAAUAACUGUCUUUAUUUAAUUUCUAAAAAUUUACUUAAAAGGUGAAAAUUCCUUUAAUUUUAAAAUAGACGAGAAGACCCUAGGAGUUUUUGUUUUGUUGGGGCGACAUUUUAGUAAAUAACCUAAAUAAAAAAUUUAACGGUUAUAUCAAUUAUAGAUAAACUACCCUAGGGAUAACAGCAUAAUUAUUGAUUUGUUUGUGACCUCGAUGUUGGACUAGGAAAUUUUAAUAUUAAAAAUAUUAAAAAUUUGUUCUGUUCGAACAUUUC